CACUCCUGCGGGAGGCAGCAGUGGGGAAUAUUGCACAAUGGGCGCAAGCCUGAUGCAGCCAUGCCGCGUGUAUGAAGAAGGCCUUCGGGUUGUAAAGUACUUUCAGCGGGGAGGAAGGCGAUAAGGUUAAUAACCUUGUCGAUUGACGUUACCCGCAGAAGAAGCACCGGCUAACUCCGUGCCAGCAGCCGCGGUAAUACGGAGGGUGCAAGCGUUAAUCGGAAUUACUGGGCGUAAAGCGCACGCAGGCGGUCUGUCAAGUCGGAUGUGAAAUCCCCGGGCUCAACCUGGGAACUGCAUUCGAAACUGGCAGGCUAGAGUCUUGUAGAGGGGGGUAGAAUUCCAGGUGUAGCGGUGAAAUGCGUAGAGAUCUGGAGGAAUACCGGUGGCGAAGGCGGCCCCCUGGACAAAGACUGACGCUCAGGUGCGAAAGCGUGGGGAGCAAACAGGAUUAGAAACCCUUGUAGUCCCAUG
rnacentral:rRNA from 1 species